rnacentral:rRNA from 1 species
AGAGUUUGAUCAUGGCUCAGAACGAACGCUGGCGGCGUGGCUAAGGCAUGCAAGUCGAACGGGGCUUCCUGAGUAGCAAUACAAGGGGAGUUCAGUGGCGGACGGGUGAGUAAUACAUAGGUAACGUGCCUCGAGUUCAGGGAUAGCGGCGUCCCGCAAGGGACUUUGCGAAAGUGCCGGUAAUACCUGAUGACGUCAUGGAGUCUCAUGGCUUUAUGACCAAAGAUGGGGACCUUCGGGCCUGUCGACUCAAGAGCGGCCUAUGUCCUAUCAGCUAGUUGGCGGGGUAAUGGCCCACCAAGGCUAUGACGGGUAACCGGCGUGAGAGCGCGACCGGUCACAUCGGGACUGAGACACUGCCCGGACACCUACGGGUGGCUGCAGCAACGAAUAUUCCGCAAUGGGCGAAAGCCUGACGGAGCGACGCCGCGUGAGGGAUGAAGUCCCUUCGGGAUGUAAACUUCAAUAGUACGCCAGGAACCGAUCCUGGCUAAUAUCCAGGAAAGUUGACCAGCGUACGAAAGAGGCGGCUAACUCCGUGCCAGCAGCCGCGGUAAUACGGAGGCCUCGAGCGUUGUUCGGAAUCACUGGGCUUAAAGCGCGUGUAGGCGGAGCGGUAAGUACUUUGUGAAAUCCCCGGCUUCAAUCCGGGAACUGCUUGGUAUACUGUCGCUCUUGAGGCAGGUAGGGGUCACUGGAACCUUAGGUGGAGCGGUGAAAUGCGUAGAUAUCUAAGGGAACGCCUGUGGCGAAAGCGGGUGACUGGGCCUGUCCUGACGCUGAGACGCGAAAGCGUAGGGAGCAAACGGGAUUAGAUACCCCGGUAGUCUACGCCGUAAACGAUGCGCACUAGGUUCGAGUAGUCUGACACUUCUCGAGCCGAAACAAAAGCGUUAAGUGCGCCGCCUGGGGAGUACGGCCGCAAGGCUAAAACUCAAAGGAAUGACGG